GAUGAAGAACGUAGCGAAAUGCGAUAAGUAAUGUGAAUUGCAGAAUUCAGUGAAUUAUCGAAUCUUUGAACGCACAUUGCGCCCCCUGGUAUUCCGGGGGGCAUGCCUGUUCGAGCGUCAUUUCACCACUCAAGCCUCGCUUGGUAUUGGGCAACGCGGUCCGCCGCGUGCCUCAAAUCGACCGGCUGGGUCUUCUGUCCCCUAAGCGUUGUGGAAACUAUUCGCUAAAGGGUGUUCGGGAGGCUACGCCGUAAAACAACCCCAUUUCUAAGGUUGACCUCGGAUCAGGUAGGGAUACCCGCUGAACUUAAGCAUAUCAAUAAGCGGAGGA
rnacentral:misc_RNA from 1 species